rnacentral:rRNA from 1 species
ACAGCCUCGGGCCCCACCCACGAUGCACACACGCCCAACCCACGCACACACACACCCACGUUGGAUCCCAUCUCUCUCGUCUUCCUCGAUCCCCUCUCUCCAUCCCACGCCGCCGCCAGAUUUCGGCGAUCCCCGCCGUUCCCCACCGCCCAGCUCUCCUCCCCGAUGUCACCUCUCCCUGCUCACCAUCUCCACCAACCGGUUUCUCUCCUCGCCCAGGAGAGUCCCGCCUCCUCGCCACCAAGGCCGCCGCCGCCCGCCGCCUCGAGCGGCGCCGCCUCCUCCUCGAGCGCCGCGCCGCAGACCUCGCCUCCCGCGCCCUCGCCGCCCGCGCUAACAUCGACGCCACCCACGCGCGCUGCCUUGCCGUUGCCCGCGACAUCAGCUCGACCAACGGCGAGAUCAAGGACGCGUAGCAGAAGGCGGAGGAGUGGGACCGCUUCUACGAGUCCAAGAGGAAGGAGAUGGAGGAGUUCCAGCCGUCGUCUCCACAGCCUCCAUCCACCCCGGCCGCAGCCACUUCUCAACCCCACGAGCAGCCUCCUGGCCUAGUUCCUCAUCACCGUCCUCCUCCCGGUCCCUGUCCACCUCCGCCUCCACCUGGUGGUCCCAGAGGCGAUGAUUCCCCGUCGCCUCGGCCGCCGUAGAGCUCUGCGAGGCUGCCGCGGUGGUGGAGACUCCGUCCGCGUCAUCGAGACGCCGUAGCCCAAAUCAAGUGUUAAGUUCAGCGUGGAGGUGCCUCCCUUGAUAUGCCAGGAGUGCUACCAAACAACUCUUCUCGAGUACUCAAAGUGUUUCGAGGUACCAUUUCUAUGCUAAAACCUGUAUCAAAUGAAGAACAUUGGAAUUCGUGAGGACAAACAUUAUGCAAAGAGUUACAAAGCACAACCAGGAAUGUGGGUUUAUGCCAAAGCUUAACGACUACACGUUCAGUAAUCAUGAACUGCAGAUACAGAGUUCCCAGCAAUGUCGCAGCGGGAGCUCGUCAAGAAGUGCAGAGGCUCAAGGCCUCUGUGUCUCAACUGCAGGCAGCCCUGCAGGAGCUGCAGAGUAGCGGGUUGCACUCGGAAGACGCCGGGAUCGGGGCUGCGGAAGCCAGGAAGGCCGACCUCAUGGCUAAGAAGGCCAAGCUGGAUGAGACCCUAGCUGCAGCCCGCUAGUUCAGAGCACUGCUUCGGCAGUAGCUCCAGAAAGCCUUUGCGUCACAGGUUAGGGAUCAAAAGGCAGCACAAAACUGACUAGUUAUGUGGUACAAGCAAAUCGACUUUCAUUAGCUAGCUCAUUAAUCGCUUUGGAUUAAGGAUGCAAUGCAAGUGUGGCGGGCUAGUGGACAGUAACAUAGUAGUACAAAUGUAGUGUUACUUUUAGGCAAAUGUUGAGCAAAUUUUGAACUAAUGGAUGAGUUUCGUGGGACGAAGCGGGCUGCCACUUGCACUCCUCCUACUGAUGAAAUGAACUUCAAAUGACUCUACAUGCAGAUACAUGCUUUUUAUUUCAGUCUUGUUUAGAGGAGGCCCCGACGGCGUCGAGCUGCUGUUGCUGCGGGCACAGCGACGUCGGCGUGGUCGGGAUGGUCGCAGCCCUUCAAGAUUCUCAAUGGCGGCGUCUCGGCGUUGAUGGCAGAGUCGACGACGAGCAUCGGCGAGUAUAGGUUCAGAUCAUCCAUGAAUUGGUAGUUAUUGGUCAUAUUUAGUUGCAUUUUGGUCAGUCCGGUUGUGGCUAUGGAGCACUUAUUUUGGUCAUGUGCUAGAUCUGUCAUGUAGGAGUAUUUGGCAAUGGAUAUUUGCUCAUACAGAAUUUUGAUAAUCAACUAGGAAUUACAAUUAGAAUCAAAGCAAUGCUACUUGUACUCCUUUCAUGAAAAAAGGCUACUCGUAGGACCCUUGUAGGAGACCAUCCUCAAGAUCGACGAGAAGAUGAGGUCUGGACCCUUGUAGGAGACCAUCCUCAAGCAGCGCUAGAUGCAACUUGACUGCUUCAAACCCAAUCCGUGCUUGCUCCUCUUAAUCAACUAGAUUAUAUUAAUUAAUAGUAGCUACUGAACUUCUUGGAUUAUGUUACCAAUUUUGAUGAUGGGCGUCCAGCUAUUAUAUUAGUAAUUUGAUUUUGGUAGCACCGUUGAAUUUGGUUGCUGCUAUUCAUUUAUGUAUGUGAAGGAGUUUGAUAAUGUGUUCUUUUUUUGUUUGCAAAAUGAAGGACGCUGCAUCCAGGUAGUGGGAAUAGUUAGUCCUUGCUAUCAAUGGUAGUAGCAUUUUUCACUGUUGAGUGUGAGGGAAUUUGAUGAUCAUCUACUUUUGCCUAUCAUCUACUUCUGAUGUUUUCCAUGAAAGUGACACGUGAUCUUCCUUUGUUUUUCUUUUAGCUGAUAGUAUGAUAACUGCUUGCUUGGCAGAAGUUAUGGUUGUGCUGUUUCUUAGCUAAAUAAAGAAACUGAGAUUUAGUUUGAUUUGGAGCGCCUCUUGUUGUACCACAGUUCCUUCUCUUAGAGUUGUACUUGUACAGUAGGUUUUGGAUUGGGAGGGGAAAAUGCUCUUGCUUCAGUCUCUGUUGAAGUCAAACCCAUCCAUGCAAAAUCUGUACUGCAGUACAAUUAAUGUAGAUGAAUAUAUAUGCCUUGCAUUUUUAUCGUGCAUGCCAUUCAACUAACUUGCUCUUGUCCAUGCAGAUGGAGUAGGAGGACGAGCAGCAGCAGCAAAUCAGCCUGAUGAUGACGGGGUGCGGAAGGCAAUGGUGAUCAUGCUGAUGGCAUGAAGAAGGCUGAUGACCACAACCUGGACCUUUUGGCAUUUAGAGAUGGCAAACACAGGCGGCGUGGAGACAACAACCUGGACCACCCACCUCCCUUUCCUUUUUAAUUUUGGUUGUGGUGGUUGCAUCACCGUCACGGUCGCAAAUCAGUAUGUAGUGUGCUUGUGGAGUUGGGUCUGGACUGCAGUGUCCAUCCAGUAGUUUAGGUGUUGUUGCUGCUAGAUCCCAUGAUGCUCACCUAAGUUUUGUGUUAUGUAGAGGCCAACCUUUGUGAUCUUAUUUGUCGACACUUGUGUGAUCUCGUCUUACUUUGUGAUACAAGUUGUACUAUAUAUAUGUUUUUAUGGAUGAUCUUG